rnacentral:rRNA from 1 species
CCUACGGGAGGCAGCAGUGAGGAAUAUUGGUCAAUGGGCGCGAGCCUGAACCAGCCAAGUAGCGUGAAGGAUGACUGCCCUACGGGUUGUAAACUUCUUUUAUAAAGGAAUAAAGUGAGGCACGUGUGCCUUUUUGUAUGUACUUUAUGAAUAAGGAUCGGCUAACUCCGUGCCAGCAGCCGCGGUAAUACGGAGGAUCCGAGCGUUAUCCGGAUUUAUUGGGUUUAAAGGGAGCGUAGAUGGGAUUGUAAGUCAGUUGUGAAAGUUUGGGGCUCAACCGGAAAAUUGCAGUUGAUACUGGCAGGCUGGAGUACGUUUGAGGUAGGCGGAAUUCGUGGUGUAGCGGUGAAAUGCUUAGAUAUCACGAAGAACUCCGAUUGCGAAGGCAGCUUACUAAACUGCCACUGACAUUGAUGCUCGAAAGUGUGGGUAUCAAACAGGAUUAGAUACCCUUGUAGUC